AUAAACUCUGUAGGCACUGAAGUCUGACUUCAGGAUUAGAAUAAGUAAAUGGUAGAUUGGAGGAAAUUCUUGUUGUGUUUGGCACUAUUCAUAUGAUGUUGGUCAUGCAUGCAGGUCUGAAAAUAAGAAUGCUAGAGGAUGACCUGAGUAGGUCUGAGGGAGGUUGGGCCUUGAUUCAAAGGAUGAAGGAUAACACCCGUGAUAAAAAGAUGACAGAGUUGGGAGCUUUUGGUUUUAAAAAGCUGAAGAGGGAUUUUACUUGUGGUCUUCAGGAGAAAGAUCCAUUGAAAAUUAAAAGUGGUUGUUGAGUUUUUAAUCUAUAGUGAAAGGGGACCAAGAAUGUUAUCUGCUGGGGUGGUUCAGGCUGCAAGGAACAGAAAUCCUUACCAGUACCCUAACGGAAUUAGCUCAUGUAACUGGAAAUGUUGGUGUAGGGCAGGUCUGGGGGCUGGUUGUGUUAGCAGCUAAGUCCUAUCAGCUCAGUGAUCUGUUUUUCUACUCUACUGGCUACAGAAUCCACUUCAUCCUAACUUGUUUAUGUUCUGGUUGUAAGAUAGCAACAGCUGGCACUGUGGGCUUUGCUGUUUGCAUUCAGAAGGAUAUAUAUAUAUGGGGGAAAAAAGUCUUCUCUUCCAACAGUGAAAUGAAAAUGUUUUUCUCUUCAUCUUUUAGGGCCGAUUUAGAGCCCAUGCAUCUCUCUGCAUCAAUAACAGUCUCCAGCAGAAUGUCAUUCACAGAUCAUUGGAGAAACCCUCUUAGAACCAACAGUAAUGAAAACACAGAAGGCCCUGAAGUCAUCCGAUUUCCUACCAUCAAGUUGGCUUUCCAAUCCCAGAGGCCCUCUGGCACACAUAUGAAGAGAGAUGGGAUGAUGGGUUGGAGUUUAUAAAAGUGAGUCUUAUUGAUAUCUAUGAAGAUAUCAAGAUGCUAAGUGCUGUAGAUUUAGAAGUCACAAAAUGUCCAACAAUUACGUAUCAACCACUUAGAAUAAGUUUAUUAUGGAGUGAGCAUAAAUCCCCCUUUCUUCUCCUAUCUAACUUGAUAGUGUUUCUCAUUUAAAAUAUUAUUCAAAGUCUGUUUUGCAAUUCUAAGAUUAUAAAAUGGUUUUUAAUCUUCAUUUUAAAAUAGGAAAUGUAUGCCCAAGGGUCCAUCCUCUAAGACAUCUUUAUGAGGUGUGGACAGGGCAGGCUGGUCUAAGCCUAGAAGUGGAGGGUGGAGGCCAAGGCACCUGAGCCCUUGGGAUCAUCACCAGCACUGGUCCCAGUGCGUUGGGUUGUUUCUUGGGUUGGCUGUCUGGCUGGGUCAUGUCUCCCACACUUGUUCCUUCAGAGAUGACCUCCCUGCUGAGAUGAGGGGGUCACUGGCAAUAGGCUUCUACCACACAGUGGAAAGCCUGGAGGCAGCCCCUCCAUCUUUUGUCCUACUGUACUUGGCUUCUGAUGACACAACCAAUGAUUGUUCAUUCAGUGUCUUCUCUGUUCUCUUGACAUACUCAUUUUUGCUUCAAUCCCUCUCAUGUAAAAAGACUUUGUUUAAAAAGUCUUAUGUUUUCUCAUUUUGAUUUAGAGAAAACACUGGCUUUUCAAGGUUGUUAUUCAAGAUCC
ensembl:lncRNA